GUGAAGGUGAAGGCUCACCAUGGCUGCAGUGUGGCUCAUCACCUGGGCACUGCUCCUGGCCGACAGGGUCUCCACCAUGGCCCAGGAGGCACUGACCCCAGAUGAGACACCACAGCAGGGCAGGGUACCCCUGCAUGUCCCAUCCUGGGGACACCUGGGGACACCCCCAGCCUGGGAUGCAUCGGGGGAGCUGAGUGGUGCUGGGAACAUCGAGAGUGAGCACUGGAGAGGUGGCAGCCCCGUGCACUGGUCUCAACUGCCACAGAUGGGCACUGUCACCAGGACACCUCGGGUGACAGGGGCAAGCCUGGCAGGUGACACAACCCUGGCUGUGGUGGAGGAGUCCUUCAUCACCUGGCAAGGACAAGAGGCUGAAGGCCAGGACAACCCCAGGGGGAAAACAGAGCUGCCUCACAGCUCCACACCAGGGAUGCCAUCCCCCCAGGUGCCCAUGGACACAGGGCCACCCUGGGCAGGUCAAGGGAUGCUCCCAUCUGAGCAAAGUGCAUCCCUGGCAGGCAGCACUCCCAGCCCUCAGCCAACCAUGUCCACCAUUGCCCUGACCCCAGAACCAGCAGUGGGGACUGGAGUGGUGACAGCAGCCAUGCACACCUGGAGACAGCCAGCAGCUGCGGGCAGCAGCAAGCAGGGACGAUGGGGUCACCUCAGCACUGCCCCUGCCUCCACCCUCGGGGAGCACAGAGCCCCAUCCCGUGAGCUGUCACCCAAGAUGGCGCAGGAGGUGAGGGCUGAGACCUGGACCUGGCUGCUGCCUGCACAUCAGAGGAGCACACGCAGAGCCCCACUCAGCAAUGCCACCACCGGGGAUGUGGCACCUGCCAGGUCAACAAGACUGCGGGACCCCCAACCCACCCUCAGCACUAGCAUCACACCGCCGCCCAUCUCCAGCACGUCCCCCCCUGGCACUCCUUAUACAGGGCUGCUCCCUGAGCAAGACAUUGGCUCCCCACAGCGAGUCCGGGGUGCUGUGGGGCACGGCAGCAUCCCCAAUGCCACCGAGGUUGCCGUGCCCACAGUGCGCCCCACAGCAGGGACACCAUCCAGCACCAGGCGCUCAGAUGCCGCAGGGACACAGCCCCCUGCCGCCAGCAGCACCGCAAUGCCCUCAGCCACGUGGCGGCACGGAGUGGUGUGGGUGACAACACAGCGUGUCCCAUGGCGUCCCAUGAAGCCGGAGCCCAGCAAGCCCCCCACAGAGCCCAGCAUCUGUACGGAGGCUUCGUGUGCUGCUGGGAACUCCAACACGACAGCAGCGGGCUGGGCUGAGCUACGCCGUCCCCUUCGCAUCGCCUGGGCCGUGCACGCCUACGUGGGGGCCGCGCUGUGCCUGCUGCUGGCGCUGGGCUGCGUAGCGGGGCUGGGGGGGACCAUCCUGCAGCGCCCACCCCAAUGCGCCCUACUGCUGGGCACCACGGGGCUGCUGCUGGCCGCCAGCCUGCUGCGGGGCACCUUCCUGCUGCUGGACCCCUAUGGGGUGCGGGGCCGGCUGCCGCCCCGCUGCAUGCUGCUGCUCUGCUCCGUGCCCUUCACGCUGCUGGUGGGAGCCUUCGCUCUGCUGCUGGGCCGCCUGCAGCGCAUGGCACAGCUCUGCCUGCUGCCCCCCUCCCUGGGGGGGCUGCCCGCGCUCGGGGUCACAGCCGUGCUGCAGUGCCUGGCCCCCGUGGCGGCCGAUCUGCUGUGGCCACAAUGGGGUUUAGGCGCGGGGUUAGCGCUGCACGGGGUGGGCUGCGUGUUCGCCACACUGCUGCUGCUGGGGGGGCUGCG
ensembl:lncRNA